rnacentral:lncRNA from 1 species
UUGAAUAAAAUGUCUGCGAACACGUGUGUACUACUAAGUGCAGGCUACUUCGUGUAUCAAUAAAUAAUGGUCACAUGUGUAGUCGUAAGUGCAGGCUACUAUGUGAUCCGGAAGGCCUUGGUCACGUGUGUAGUACUAUGUGUAGGCUACUACAUGAACCGAAAAGCUUGAUCGCGUGUGUAGUACUAUGUGAAGGUUAC